GGGGGCGUUUAGGGGCGCCUUGUGCUGGGCAGCGGGGGCCGGGCUUUUUGGUUUUUUGGUGCUGCGUUAAUGGUUUUUGCUCGUUCUGUGUCCAUUUGCAGCCUCGCUCGUGGUUUCCCCUGGGGCGGAGGCGAGUUGUGCUUCCUGCGGGGAGAGAGAAGGGCCUUGGGAAGCUGCUCCAUGAGCCACAGCUGUGCCGAGCCCGGGAGUCUGUCCAGCACCCUUUCUGCUGCUGGGAGAGCACGAGGUGGAUGGAGAGGAUCCCCAGGCAUGUGCAGGCACAAGGGACUCGUACAACUGCGAUUUUCCUCCAGCCCUUGUGGAAGGGACUUUCAGGAUACUCUUGGGAAUGGGCCAGCUCUCCUGCUGGAGCUUUUCUGUGGAAUAUUUGAACACAAAGGGAGAAAAUGGGGCAAGCGGGCAGGAAGAAGAGAAGCCCUGUGACUCCUCCCUGAGCCCCAGCCAGCCCCUGAACUGCCUUCCUGGGAAUGGUGGGACGGGCUGGACUCUGGAUUGCUCCCUCUGCAUGUGUGGCUCUCCCCUCAGGAACUGCAGGAACUCCUGGUGCCGCCUGGGCCGAUGGAUUGGACGCCCCAGCCCCUCCGUUCCUGCCCAGCCCCUGGGGCCGUGUCCAGUGGUGGCACUGCCAGCCCUGCAGGGGAAGUGGGAAGGGCCUUUGCAGGUCUGGUGGGUCACAUUGAUAGCAGUGGGAUGGAGCCUGGAAAGUGCACAGAGCUGAGCCAAGGGAUUGAAAGGGACCAAGCAAGGGAGGUGAAGAAAGAAGGAAGAAGGGAAGUGAGGCAGCAGGCAAGCAGCACCAAGUUGCUGUGUAAGCAGGUGAGUUGUGUUGAGGUUCCUCAGGCAGGCACUGAGGACUUGGAGGGCUCCAGACAGAGCAGACCUGGGAAGGCCCUCGGUGAAGCCCCUCAGAGACCUUCUAAGGGUAGGUGUGUGUGGUGAUAAGUGUUGGGAUUGUCCUGAAUGUGGAAUAGGAAUGCAGGGAAGGAAAACGAACCCUCCUGUAAUGCUGCCAUAUCAGCUGCAGUGGAGACCCCUCCGUGUGCCCUUUGGGAGUGGAUUGCCAGGACCCCCAUGGGGCUGGGAUC